rnacentral:rRNA from 1 species
AGUGAACGCUGGCGGUAGGCCUAACACAUGCAAGUCGAACGGCAGCACAGUAAGAGCUUGCUCUUACGGGUGGCGAGUGGCGGACGGGUGAGGAAUACAUCGGAAUCUACUUUUUCGUGGGGGAUAACGUAGGGAAAUUUACGCUAAUACCGCAUACGACCUACGGGUGAAAGCAGGGGAUCUUCGGACCUUGCGCGAUUGAAUGAGCCGAUGUCGGAUUAGCUAGUUGGCGGGGUAAAGGCCCACCAAGGCGACGAUCCGUAGCUGGUCUGAGAGGAUGAUCAGCCACACUGGAACUGAGACACGGUCCAGACGCCUACGGGAGGCAGCAGUGGGGAAUAUUGGACAAUGGGCGCAAGCCUGAUCCAGCCAUACCGCGUGGGUGAAGAAGGCCUUCGGGUUGUAAAGCCCUUUUGUUGGGAAAGAAAAGCAGCAGGUUAAUACCCCGCUGUUCUGACGGUACCCAAAGAAUAAGCACCGGCUAACUUCGUG